AUUGAACGCUGGCGGCAGGCCUAACACAUGCAAGUCGAACGAGUGGCGGACGGGUGAGUAAUGUCUGGGAAACUGCCCGAUGGAGGGGGCUAACUACUGGAAACGGUAGCUAAUACCGCAUACCAUCGGAUGUGCCCAGAUGGGAUUAGAUAGUCGGUGGGGUAACGGCUCACCUAGGCGACGAUCCCUAGCUGGUCUGAGAGGAUGACCGGCCAAACUGGAACGGAGACACGGUCCAGACGCCUACGGGAGGCGGCAGUGGGGAAUAGUGCACAAUGGGCGCAAGCCUGAUGCAGCCAUGCCGCGUGUAUGAAGAAGGGCGUCGGGUUGUAAAGUAAUUUCAGCGAGGAGGCGUUACUCGAAGAAGAAGCACCGGCUAACUCCGUGCCAGCAGCCGCGGUAAUAC
rnacentral:rRNA from 1 species